ACGAACAGUGGAAACGACUGCUAAUACCGCAUAAGACCACAGUACCGCAUGGUACAGUGAUCAAAGGAUUUAUUCGCUGAAGGAUGGCUUCGCGUCCGAUUAGGUAGUUGGUGAGGUAACGGCCCACCCAAGCCUACGAUCGGUAGCCGGACUGAGAGGUUGAUCGGCCACAUUGGGACUGAGACACGGCCCAGACUCCUACGGGAGGCAGCAUG
rnacentral:rRNA from 1 species